GGAGUAUGUGGUUAAUUCGAUGCAACGCGAAGAACCUUACCUGGUCUUGACAUCCCGGAGACCCUUAGGAAACUAGGGGUGCUUCCAUCUGGAAGAAUCUGGAGACAGGUGCUGCAUGGCUGUCGUCGGCUCGUGUCGUGAGAUGUGGGUUAAGUCCCGCAACGAGCGCAACCCUUGCCUUUAGUUGCCAGCAGUUCGGCUGGGCACUCUAAAGGGACUGCCGGUGUUAAACCGGAGGAAGGUGGGGAUGACGUCAAGUCCUCAUGGCCUUUAUGACCAGGGCUACACACGUACUACAAUGGCCGAUACAAAGGGCAGCGACACUGCGAGGUGAAGCCAAUCCCGUAAAAUCGGUCUCAGUCCGGAUUGGAGUCUGCAACUCGACUCCAUGAGGUUGGAAUCGCUAGUAAUCGUGGAUCAGCAUGCCACGGUGAAUACGUUCCCGGGCCUU
rnacentral:rRNA from 1 species